GGUGAGUAACACGUGGAUAACCUGCCCGAUGCACCGGGAUAACAGGCCGAAAGGCUUGCUAAUACCGGAUAAGCUCACGGGGGCGCAUGCCCUUGGGAGAGAAGGCGCUGCAAGGCGUCGGGAUCGGAGGGAUCCGCGGCCCAUUAGCUAGUUGGGGGGGGUAACGGCCCACCAAGGCGACGAUGGGUAGCCGGCCUGAGAGGGCGAACGGCCACACUGGGACUGAGACACGGCCCAGACUCCUACGGGAGGCAGCAGUCGGGAAUUUUGCGCAAUGGCCGCAAGGCUGACGCAGCAACGCCGCGUGAGUGAAGAAGGCCUUCGGGUUGUAAAGCUCUGUUGCCCGUGACGAACCCCCGUGGCAGGAAAUGGCGACGGGCUGACGGUAGCGGGAGAGGAAGCCCCGGCUAACUACGUGCCAGCAGCCGCGGUAAUACAUAGGGGGCGAGCGUUGUCCGGAUUUAUUGGGCGUAAAGGGCGUGUAGGCGGCCUGUUAAGUCAGGGGUGAAAGACCGGGGCUCAACCCGGGUACUGCCUCUGAAACUGGGAGGCUUGAGUGCUCUAGAGGGUAGUGGAAUUGCCGGUGUAGCAGUGAAAUGCGUAGAGAUCGGCAGGAACACCAGUGGCGAAGGCGACUGCCUGGGGAGCAACUGACGCUGAGGCGCGAAAGCUGGGGGAGCAAACGGGAUUAGAUACCCCGGUAGUCCCAGCCGUAAACGAUGAGUGCUAGGUGUGGCGGGUAUCGACCCCUGCCGUGCCGGCGUUAACGCAAUAAGCACUCCGCCUGGGGAGUACGGCCGCAAGGUU
rnacentral:rRNA from 1 species